UACAGGGGGGGCAAGCGUUGUUCGGAAUUACUGGGCGUAAAGGGCUCGUAGGUGCCAGCAACGUAUCAGACGUGAAAUCCCUCAGCUUAACUGGGGAACUGCGUCUGAUACUGGAUGGCUUGGAUUCGGGAGAGGGAUGCGGAAUUCCACGUGUAGCAGUGAAAUGCGUAGAGAUGUGGAGGAACACCGAUGGCGAAGGCAGCCUCCUGGGCCAGCACUGACGCUCAUGCACGAAAGCGUGGGGAGCAAACAGG
rnacentral:rRNA from 1 species